AGCAGCAUUUCGGCCCCCUUCUCUGACUGGGAAACAAAAAAAAAAUCCGCCGAGUUCAACAUGAAACUUGGAUCGUCUCCUUGUUGUCCCCACGUUGCCGCUGGGUAAAGCUUGCGGGAGAAGAAUAUCAACUGUUACUGUCCACCAUCAACAACAGAAGGACGUGAGACCUCACGAUUCACAGACUGCUCGGAAAUUGGAAGCAGUGACAAGAACUGAGCUGGACUGAGACAUCCAGGGUAAACCAAAGGUCAUGAUGACUGGCUCUCUGAAAAGGCAGGACCCUCAUCUUGACUCACGAAACGUCACCUAGUCUGACCUUGGACCUCAAAUGACUCCAAGCGAACUUCCUGAGGAGCCAGGCUGCUCUCAAACCAGUUACCUGCUGGCUCAGAAGUUCAAAGGGCUGGGGGCAGGUUGCUGCCGUGAAUUUCACCAGUAAUUUGAGAAAACAUGAUAAAGGAGACUCCAGGAUGACUUCCUUGAUUUGCAGAGUAGAAUUGACUUUCACAUUGAUUUUGGCAAAAUGAUUGAAUUGGUUUAAAUUUAACCACUUUCUCUUGGAAUUCUGGAA